UCGGGAAUCUUGGACAAUGGGGGAAACCCUGAUCCAGCCAUGCCGCGUGUGUGAUGAAGGCCCUAGGGUCGUAAAGCACUUUCGCCAGGGAAGAUAAUGACGGUACCUGGUAAAGAAACCCCGGCUAACUCCGUGCCAGCAGCCGCGGUAAUACGGAGGGGGUUAGCGUUGUUCGGAAUUACUGGGCGUAAAGCGCGCGUAGGCGGACUAGUCAGUCAGAGGUGAAAUCCCGGGGCUCAACCCCGGAACUGCCUUUGAUACUGCUAGUCUUGAGUUCGAGAGAGGUGAGUGGAAUUCCGAGUGUAGAGGUGAAAUUCGUAGAUAUUCGGAGGAACACCAGUGGCGAAGGCGGCUCACUGGCUCGAUACUGACGCUGAGGUGCGAAAGCGUGGGGAGCAAACAGGAUUAGAUACCCCCGUAGUCC
rnacentral:rRNA from 1 species